AACGGCUCAGUAACACGUAGUUAAUCUACCCUUAUGUCGGAAAUAACCUCGGGAAACUGAGGAUAAUAUCCGAUGGAGAAUAUUUUCUGGAAUGAUAAAUUCUCAAAAUUCGAGCAUAAGGAUGAGACUGCGGCUGAUUAGGUAGUUGGCGGGGUAAAUGCCCACCAAGCCGAUGAUCAGUAAGGGCUCUUAGCGGAGAGGCCCUGAGAAGGAAUCUGAGACACUAUUCCUAGCCCUAUGGGGUGCAGCAGUUAGGGAACUUCUACAAUGCGCGAAAGCGUGAUAGAGCGAGCCAGAGUGUUUUUGGAAUUUUUCCAAAAACUUUUGCUUUUUGUAAAAAGAAAGGCGAAUAAGGACUGGGCAAGAUCGGUGCCAGCCGCCGCGGUAAUCCCGACGGUCCGAGUCGCAGCCACAAUUAUUGGGUCUAAAACAUUCGUAGCUUGUUUCGUAAGUUCCUUGUGAAAUCUUAACUCUUAAGGUUAAGGCGUGCAAGGAAUACUGCAAAACUAGAGACCGGAAGAAGCAAGAAGUAUGAUUGAGGUAGUGAUAAAAUACGUUAAUCUUAAUCAGACUAACAAGAGCGAAGGCAUCUUGCUAGUACGGAUCUGACAGUGAGGAAUGAAGGCUAGGGGCGCAAAAGGGAUUAGAUACCCCUGUAGUCCUAGCUGUAAACACUGCUCACUAAACAUUAGUACCUCUUCGAGAGGUAUUAGUGCUGUAGAGAAGUCGAAGAGUGAGCUACCUGGAAG
rnacentral:rRNA from 1 species